rnacentral:rRNA from 1 species
UACAGAGUGGGCAAGCGUUAUUCGGAAUUACUGGGCGUAAAGUGUGCGCAGGCGGUUUCGCAAGUCCAGUGUGAAAGCCCCGGGCUUAACCUGGGAACUGCGCUUGAAACUACGGAACUCGAGUAUGGCAGAGGAAGGUGGAAUUCCACGUGUAGCGGUGAAAUGCGCAGAUAUCAGGAAGAACACCCGUGGCUAAGGCGGCUCUCUAGUACGGUACUGACGCUGAGACGCGAAAGCGUGGGGAGCGAACAGG